UUUAAAUUGAGAGUUUGAUCCUGGCUCAGGAUGAACGCUGGCGGCGUGCCUAAUACAUGCAAGUCGUACGCUAGCCGCUGAAUUGAUCCUUCGGGUGAAGUGAGGCAAUGACUAGAGUGGCGAACUGGUGAGUAACACGUAAGAAACCUGCCCUUUAGUGGGGGAUAACAUUUGGAAACAGAUGCUAAUACCGCGUAACAACAAAUCACACAUGUGAUCUGUUUGAAAGGUCCUUUUGGAUCGCUAGAGGAUGGUCUUGCGGCGUAUUAGCUUGUUGGUAGGGUAGAAGCCUACCAAAGCAAUGAUGCGUAGCCGAGUUGAGAGACUGGCCGGCCACAUUGGGACUGAGACACUGCCCAAACUCCUACGGGAGGCUGCAGUAGGGAAUUUUCCGCAAUGCACGAAAGUGUGACGGAGCGACGCCGCGUGUGUGAUGAAGGCUUUCGGGUCGUAAAGCACUGUUGUAAGGGAAGAAUAACUGAAUUCAGAGAAAGUUUUCAGCUUGACGGUACCUUACCAGAAAGGGAUGGCUAAAUACGUGCCAGCAGCCGCGGUAAUACGUAUGUCCCGAGCGUUAUCCGGAUUUAUUGGGCGUAAAG
rnacentral:rRNA from 1 species